ACCUGAUUCAGCGGCGGACGGGUGAGUAAUGCCUAGGAAUCUGCCCGAUAGUGGGGGACAACGUUUCGAAAGGAACGCUAAUACCGCAUACGUCCUACGGGAGAAAGUGGGGGAUCUUCGGACCUCACGCUAUCGGAUGAGCCUAGGUCGGAUUAGCUAGUUGGUGAGGUAAUGGCUCACCAGGGCGACGAUCCGUAACUGGUCUGAGAGGAUGAUCAGUCACACUGGAACUGAGACACGGUCCAGACUCCUACGGGAGGCAGCAGUGGGGAAUAUUGGACAAUGGGCGAAAGCCUGAUCCAGCCAUGCCGCGUGUGUGAAGAAGGUCUUCGGAUUGUAAAGCACUUUAAGUUGGGAGGAAGGGCAGUAAGCUAAUACCUUGCUGUUUUGACGUUACCAACAGAAUAAGCACCGGCUAACUUCGUGCCAGCAGCCGCGGUAAUACGAAGGGUGCAAGCGUUAAUCGGAAUUACUGGGCGUAAAGCGCGCGUAGGUGGUUCAGCAAGUUGGAUGUGAAAUCCCCGGGCUCAACCUGGGAACUGCAUCCAAAACUACUGAGCUAGAGUACGGUAGAGGGUGGUGGAAUUUCCUGUGUAGCGG
rnacentral:rRNA from 1 species